rnacentral:lncRNA from 1 species
GGCACGAUGUUGAAGCUCAGUGUCUAGAAGAGCAAGACCAGUGUUUACACGCACCACUGUUUUAAUUCAGGGUUCAAUACUUUGUCAUCUGAUAAACUGCAAUCCUCUCUUGAUUGGAAUCCCCCUCCAGACUGACCCCCAUGCCAAUCCAGCUUCCACAUUGUGCCAGUUUUCUU